UACGUAGGGGGCAAGCGUUGUCCGGAAUUAUUGGGCGUAAAGAGCGUGUAGGCGGUCCGGUAAGUCAGCUGUGAAAGCCAAGGGCUCAACCCUUGAAAGCCGGUUGAUACUGUCGGGCUAGAGUCCGGAAGAGGCGAGUGGAAUUCCCGGUGUAGCGGUGAAAUGCGCAGAUAUCGGGAGGAACACCAAUGGCGAAGGCAGCUCGCUGGGACGGUACUGACGCUGAGACGCGAAAGCGUGGGGAGCAAACAGG
rnacentral:rRNA from 1 species